rnacentral:lncRNA from 1 species
AUGGCAACGACACGCUCAGUUUGUCCCACCCUCUUCUUCCCCUCUGCUGUGUCCACAAGUCUGUCCUCCACAUCUGUGUUUCUAUUCCUGCCCUGCAGACAGGUUCCUAACUCUCCUCAGUGUCCCCAGCGCCCUGGGAGAGUCCCUCCUGGAGGAGAGCCAUGGACCUCACUGCACCUGUUUGCCGACCUGCUGCGACCACACGUGCUGGGAGUUUCAGGGGUGACAUGGACAGGCAUCGCAAGCAGCAGCUGCUCUGCUGCACAUGCGCAGGGGACGCAGCAGUUCUGAAUUCGUGGAUGCCCGGUCACCUGCUUACAGAAAUGGAAACUGGUUCAUAGAGUGAUUUAAACCCCAGACCUGAGGAGUACGUUCCAGGAAAGCGUGGGGCGAGGGUAUCUUUCCAUCUGGUUUACGGCCUCCUUCGUUGAGCGGCUCUGCCCUUGGCCUCGCCGAGGUCUUAUAACUGGCUCUCAUUUUGGUCCGGCAGAGACCCCCUCCGGAGUCGUAGGGAGAGGACGCCGGCCCCUCACUUUCUCUGUGAGCGGAUCUUUUCUCUUGCCUGAUACAACAGUCGUAAGCAAGACGCCAGGAAAUAAAUCGCUCAGUUCCCACUGAAAUUGCCUAUGCUGGAAUUUGUGCCUUUUAGAGACACAUGAAUGAUGACUGGGGCGCAGCAUCCUUUUAUGUGAACCGAGAUGAUUCCAGCCCAGAUAGUAGAAAUGUGAGAAGCCUCAGCGAAGUCUGUUCUCUGGGUUAUAAAUUCCUUUUCUCUCUAAAGCCUUGGCCUUAUCUGGAGAUUCUCUUGGCUGUGCUUUCUUCUUUCAUGGCUGUCUCUUU